GACGGAGGUGGCAAACGUUGCUCGGAAUCACUGGGCUUAAAGGGCGUGUAGGCGGUCCGUCAAGUCGGGUGUGAAAUCCCUCGGCCUAACCGAGGAACCGCAUUCGAAACUGACGGGCUGGAGUGCGGGAGGGGUAAGUGGAACUCCAGGUGUAGCGGUGAAAUGCGUAGAUAUCUGGAGGAACGCCGGUGGCGAAAGCGACUUACUGGCCCGUAACUGACGCUGAGGCGCGAAAGCUAGGGGAGCAAACGGG
rnacentral:rRNA from 1 species